UCUCUACCUCCUCCUCAGGUACUAUAUUAUGGCUGAGGGUGUGAGGCUCUACUCUCAGGAGACCUGGAGGAUGGUCACACAGACCAGGGGAGUGCAGCUUGUAGAGCAGAACAUCCACAAAGUGCCGCCUGUAGCUGUCUGACCAGUGGUAACUUCCUGGGAUGCUUCCCAGAAGAGUGAAAGUAAGAAAAACUCACUGUUACCACACUAUAACUACAGCUGUUGCUCUCACCAGUAUUACCAAGGCCUAUGGUGAGACACUGUACAGACUGUAGACUGUGCUGAUAAUUUGAGGUGUACUGUCAAGAUUGUAAAAUUUAUUUGUUUGCUCAGUUUAUUACUUGUACAGCACUCAACUAUCUCUUUCUCUAACCUUGUGAGCUGCUGCUUGGCUUUCAAUAUUGUUGUACAUUGAGCGCUGAAAGCCCUUUCGACUGUGUUACUACCUGAACAGCUGUCUGAAAGAUCUCCUGUGGUAUUGAUCCUGGACCGUCUGUAUUUGGGGUGGUACAUCGUAUCCAUGACGACCCGACUCAUACAGACCAGCAGAUGUACUCGUGUGGUUCAUUGGCUCCCAAAAUGAGGAGGGGAGGAUGUAUAGACUCACACUAUCACAAGCCGGGAGAGCCGUGGGAGAGAAUGAGGGUUCCUUCUCCUGCUGGAGAGCUGAGUAGUGUAAUGGGUGUGGUGACCGAAUGUCCUCCCUCCUCCCCCUCUGUGCUGAGACACUACGACACAGACACUACCCUAAGCAUAUCAACCUCUUGGAGACACUGCUCAAACUGGUGAGAUGAGUAGAUGUAUGAAAGUAGCUAGCUCUCCAGUUGUUUUAUAGUGAUAGUGUGUGGGUUGAAAUUUCUUAGACACCAGUGCUUCACUGAAACAGAGCAGUGGAUUCCACAGUACAUUUAAUUGCUUGUAUUUGUGUUGCACUGUGACUACGCUACAUUUAUUUGAGUGCAUGCAUGUGUUCAAUGUUGUUCUAAUACUCUCUUUCUGUUUCGUUAUCCAUUUUCUUUGAGUGUGUUCAAUAAUGUUGCUCCAACGCUGUAUAGAAGACAUUAUUUACAAUAGCACAGGUUAACGUUUGCUCCAAAACACUUUUGUGUCCAUUGUUUAAUAGGUAAUGUAUAUUCUCCAGUUA